rnacentral:tRNA from 1 species
CCCAUAGCUCAGUGGAUUUAGAGCAGGCGACUCAUAAUCGCUUGGUCGCUGGUUCCAGAAUCCAGCUUGGGGGG